AGAGUUUGAUCCUGGCUCAGGAUGAACGCUGACAGAAUGCUUAACACAUGCAAGUCUACUUGAUUUAAAACUUCGGUUUUAUUGAAGGUGGCGGACGGGUGAGUAACGCGUAAAGAAUCUGCCCUGUAGUCUGGGAUAACAGUUGGAAACGACUGCUAAUACCGGAUAUUAUGAAUUGGUCGCAUGACCAGCUUAUGAAAGCUAUAUGCGCUAGAGGAGGACUUUGCGUCCCAUUAGCUAGUUGGUGAGGUAACGGCUCACCAAGGCGACGAUGGGUAGCCGGCCUGAGAGGGUGAUCGGCCACAAGGGGACUGAGACACGGCCCUUACUCCUACGGGAGGCAGCAGUGGGGAAUAUUGGACAAUGGACCAAAAGUCUGAUCCAGCAAUUCUGUGUGCACGAUGAAGGUCUUAGGAUUGUAAAGUGCUUUCAGUGGGGAAGAAGUCAGUGACGGUACCCACAGAAGAAGCGACGGCUAAAUAUGUGCCAGCAGCCGCGGUAAU
rnacentral:rRNA from 1 species